GUAAGCAUUCUUUUUUUUUUUUAUUUUGUGAUGGAGUCUCGCUCUGUCACCCAGGCUGGAGUGCAGUGGCUCAAUCUUGGCUCACUGCAACCUCCACCUCCCAGGUUCAAACAAUUCUCCUGCCUUAGCCCCCGAGCACCUGGAAUUACAGACAUCCACCACCACAUCCGGCUAAUUUUUGUAUUUUUAGUAGAGAUGGGAUUUCGCCUUGUUGGCCAGGCUGGUCUCAAACUCCUGACCUCAGGUGAUGUACCUGCCUCAGCCACCCAAAGUGCUAGGAUUACAAGCGAGAGCCACGGCACCCAGCCCAGCAAUAAAAACCUGCUCCUGAUUACAAGGAUAUGUCGAUUGCAGGGAGGCAGAGGAAGAAAUACAACAGGAUGUCUAUCGAACACAACUUUGGAGUAAGACCUUGGGACCCAACUCCUGUUUGCUUCAUAUACAAGCUUUGAGACGUGAUGAGUUUGCCUCGAUUCUCUAAGCCUCAGUUUCCUCAUCUGUUGUUGUGAGGGAAAUAAUGCAUGGAAAGCUUUUAACACAAUGGCUGGCACACAGUGAAAGUGCAAGACGUUAACCAUUAUCAUGAGAGUUUUCAAUUGGAAUGAAUAGGAGACUUAAAUUUGCAUGAUUGUACUUUUACACUAAGCCAUUAAUGAUGCAUUCAUUUAGUUUUCUACUCCCAAAGAACAUAGAUUUGAUUAAUUAUAACAAGAAUUUAAAAAUAUUUCCAUUAUUCAGAAAUAACCUACAGAGUCUAAGCCUGUCCUUUCCUUCCUCCCUUUUUCCCAAUCUUUUUUUUUUUUUUUUUUUUUUGAAAGAAAUAGCAAUUAUGUAGUCAGAUUCACUGGCUCUUUCUUCUUCUCCCUGGUAACAGGCUAAGUCUUAACCUUGAUUAGGCAGCAUCGCAUCUGAUCUAAGUUCUUCCCAGCUUUCAGCCCAGCCUGCUUCCCCAGGCUUCAGAGCGCAGCUCUGCACCACCCUCUCCACCCCUGCUUAGCAUCAGAACAUUGCCAAAGCUAAGCAUCUAUGCAAUGUUUCUUUUGAAUAGUUGUCUACCUACUUGGAUAUUUUUUUCCUUCUCCCAGAGGCAAAAAUUGGACCACUUAAUCUAUGCUGUAGGACAGUCUUGCCCCUCAGAAAAUACUUGAGCAUAUUAAGUUGUUAUGAAAUGGAUCUGAGAAGCAGAGUUCUGAACCAUGCCCGUGAAUUUCCCAGCCUCAUCACACUGGCAUUCUUUCAUAGCCCCGAAAUACUUUCCACUUGCCCUUCCUAUGAAUGCAAGUAAAGCAAAGCCUCUUGACAAAGCAAAUUAAGAGUAAUCAAUGGUUUGGGUUUUUUUUUUAAUUAUUAUUUCCUGUGACUCAAAUCAAACCUAUUUCUCAACUGUAACGUACGAAAAGAGAGAGAUCAAGUUGACAUUUAGGAAAAUUGAACAUUGAUAAGUAAAUUGCCUUCACUCAGUCUCUUAGGUCCUCUCUCCUUUCCCCCUACCCCACGACACCCCGUGGCCCUGCUCUCUCUCACACACACAGCUGAAGGUAUCUUUAAAGGGUACCUAUUUCCUGCAGAUCACGCUUAUGUUAAUCUCACUUCAAGUACAGAUGCACCGAGGACAUUACAGGGUCAGUCAUUCUUAUCCACAAAGCUUUAGAUUCCACUACAUUAUUCAAACUGGACAAUGGACUUCCCCAUUUUGUGCCCAGACUUGCUCACUAAUAGAGUGACCUCCUUGUUAUGGGUGAGGAUAUAUUUGAUGCUAAAACUGCUACAAAUUUUUAUCAGCAUUUAAUCUUGAGACUGUGAAUUACUACAUCCUGCAUGUGUUGGUACCUUACUUUGAUUAAAAAUGGGAUAAAUCAAUGAGAGAGUCUUUUUAUCCAAGGCCAUGUUCCUUUCACAUGAAGGUCAUAUACGGGCUAAUUGGACAAAAUAUAAAUCAUGUUUCUUUCCACAUUCAGUUUUAGAUCCUGACCUGUUUUGUGUCAAGAAAUCACAGGGAGCCCAACCUGUAUCAUCAAGAUUGUUUUGAUUUACAGAUGAUUUCCUUAAAUCAUAGCAUGAUGACAUUCAAUGCAAUUCCAAAAUUAAGGAAUGGAGAGUUCAGAAGGACAUUUAAAAAAAAAAUGCUUGUAGUGUUAUAGGAAAAAGUAAUCAGAACUUUGACUCCAUUUGCUUUCCUGUGUCAUAGAAAUGUUGAGGACAGGACAAAAAUAUAACUCCCACCAGUAAC
rnacentral:lncRNA from 1 species